UUCUUGAAAUAGACAGGGCUUGUGUGCCUUUGAAUCCACCCAGAUCUCGCCUUUGCAGGGCCGUGUUCUGGCUUUUGCACUGUCUGCUUUUGUUCCUUACCUUUCACACGAGUUUCUCUGUGGUGCCCUGGCUGUCUUGGAAGUCACUCUGUAGACCAGACUGGCCUCGAACUCAGAAAUCCAUCUGCCUCUGCCUCCCCAGUGUUGGAAUUAAAGAUGUGAGCUACCAUUGGUCCACCCGAAGUCCAGAGAUCUAACCCCAAGCUCUCAGGACACAGGCAGAGACUCCUUGCUGCAGUUACUGAGAGAUUCAGAGCGACUUGGGUGAAGUCCAUGGUGCUCACAGAGGUCAGGGGUCUUCUUGGAGCUGAAGCUGGAAUUACAGGUGGUUGUGAGUCACCUGACCCGGCUGGAGGGGGGUUAAAUGAAGAGCAGAAGGACUCGUAACUGCUGAACAUCUCUGCUGCCGCUAAGGACGCGUUCCAAGUCCUAAGAAUGCAUCGUGUUCUCCGUCGUGCCCUCUGCAGCGCUCAGCUACAGCUCUCCCUGCAGCUAUGUCAGACCUCUAUUCUCAGUGACUCGUUACUGAAACUGCAGCUUAGCUUGUAAUAUCCUUUUUACAUUCACAGUUUCAUGGUUUAUACAUUAAGGUCACAAAUCACUUCACAACAGAGAGACACUCUGAAACACAUCACCAGGCACUCUGUCAUUGCGCAAACAUUCUAGACCACACUUACACAAACAUUCUAUUGCACAUCUAAGAACCGUCAUGGUGCCUGAAGUAAGUCCUGCACAGAGAUCUACUUUUCAAAAGCACAUGGCUGUGUUUAAUUACAUCAUGCAAUUGUCAUGUCAGGUAUGACUGGCAAGAACAGAUUUUAGGAAAGCCAACUUGGGGUCAGAGGGCAACCCAACAGGUAAAAGCAGAAGUGAGGUGUAUGUAGAGAGCGUCCUCUCCAACAUUGCUGGCUGUAGACAUCCUGUGUGCAGUCCACAGAGGCCAUGGAGACAAGAGGAUGCCAUGAGUCCUGGUCAGGGAAAAGAUAGUAAAAAAGACUGUUUGUUCUGCACAUUAACACUGCAAAUGGUACAGAGGCAUCAUGCUUAGCAUCUGGUGAAGGAAUACCAAGUGCACAUAGUGAAGGUCAAAGCAGGAAGACAAGUAAGCCUAUGGAGACUUACCUAAACAACUCAGAUCCAGUCAUUGGAUGGGGAAGGGCUGCUUGGUUAGGCAAGAACGUUGCUCACUAAGCCUGUCAGAGACAUGGUCAAAUAUGUCAUGAUGGUGGUGGGAAUUACUUCUGGAUCGAGGCUGUUUUGUUGAGCAUGGCUGUGAUGGCAUUAUUCAUGUACCUUUGUCAGUACUCUACGGAAUGUGUAAGCGGCUUUUUCUAGUUUACUAUAUCCAUAACCUAACUGUCUGGCAUUCCUUCAAUAAGAUUUAUACAGUGAAAUGGAGAUUUCUGAUUUCUUUGGACUCAGUUGUGUUAUGUGGUGUUUUUCUGGAAACUGUCUUAUGAGAGGAUGUUUUCCUGAAACAGAUACUUGAGAGGAAGUGUGAUGUUUAUAAGUAGAACCCAACAGACAGCGAAUGAGGCUGUAGCAUUGGUUCACCUUGCAACACUUUGCUGGUCUUUGCUGAUCUUCUCUUGCGGAAACUUCAUAGAGGGAAAUGUGCCAAAGAACUUCUUGCCAUGAGUGUUUGACAUUUGAUGCUUUGGAGUGGACUGCUGCUAUCCUGACAACGAAGAUCGGAAUAACCUCAAAGAACUACUUCUAACAGGUCCACAUACCCCCUUGUUCUAUUAACCAUCUUUCUCCCCUAACUUUGGUUGAUGGGCUAGAAGGGAGGUUGAAGUGCAUAUGAACCCUUAUUAAAGUAGAGUUUGAAAAAUCUAA